UAUUACAACAAAUGUACCAGGAACUGGAGGAGAUGUGCCAGGACAGUGGCUGGAAGACAUAAUAUGAGCCCAUAGAGGUUGGCUGUCGAGGCUUUGCAGGAUGCUCACUCUGCAAAGUCCUCA